rnacentral:rRNA from 1 species
CCUACGGGAGGCUGCAGUAGGGAAUCUUCCACAAUGGACGAAAGUCUGAUGGAGCAACGCCGCGUGAGUGAAGAAGGGUUUCGGCUCGUAAAGCUCUGUUGGUAGUGAGGAAAGAUAGAGGUAGUAACUGGCCUUUAUUUGACGGUAAUUACUUAGAAAGUCACGGCUAACUACGGGACAGAAGCCGCGGUAAUACGAAGGUUGCAAGCGUUGUCCGGAUUUAUUGGGCUGAAAGCGAGUGCAGGCGGGUUCAUAAGUCUGAUGUGAAAGCCUUCAGCUCAACCGGAGAAUUGCAUCAGAAACUGUUGAACUUGAGUGCAGAAGGGGCGAGUGGAACUCCAUGUGUAGCGGUGGAAUGCGUAGAUAUAUGGAAGAACACCAGUGGCGAAGGCGGCUCUCUGGUCUGCAACUGACGCUGAGGCUCGAAAGCAUGGGUAGCGAACAGGAUUAGAUACCCUAGUAGUC